rnacentral:rRNA from 1 species
CCCUUAGAUGUCCGGGGCCGCACGCGCGCUACACUGAAGGAAUCAGCGUGGCUUUCUCCCUGACCCGAAAGGGUUGGGAAACCCGUUGAAUCUCCUUCGUGAUAGGGAUUGGGGCUUGAAAUUGUUCCCCAUGAACGAGGAAUUCCCAGUAAGCGCGAGUCAUAAGCUCGCGUUGAUUACGUCCCUGCCCUUUGUACACACCGCCCGUCGCACCUACCGAUUGAACGUUCCGGUGAGACCUUGGGAUUUGGUCUUUGGUACUUUAUUGUGCCGUUGACCGAAAAACUUGAGCAAACCUUAACGUUUAGAGGAAGGUGAAGUCGUAACA